rnacentral:tRNA from 1 species
CCCUGGGUGGUGUAAAUGGUUAACAGGCUCAGCUACUAACUGAAAGUUUGGAGGUUCAAGUCCACCCAGGGA